GACGAACGCUGGCGGCGUGCUUAACACAUGCAAGUCGAACGAAAAGGCCCUGCUUUUGUGGGGUGCUCGAGUGGCGAGCGGGUGAGUAACACGUGAGUAACCUGCCCUUGACUUUGGGAUAACUUCAGGAAACUGGGGCUAAUACCGGAUAGGAGCUCCUGCUGCAUGGUGGGGGUUGGAAAGUUUCGGCGGUUGGGGAUGGACUCGCGGCUUAUCAGCUUGUUGGUGGGGUAGUGGCUUACCAAGGCUUUGACGGGUAGCCGGCCUGAGAGGGUGACCGGCCACAUUGGGACUGAGAUACGGCCCAGACUCCUACGGGAGGCAGCAGUGGGGAAUAUUGCACAAUGGGCGGAAGCCUGAUGCAGCAACGCCGCGUGCGGGAUGACGGCCUUCGGGUUGUAAACCGCUUUCGCCUGUGACGAAGCGUGAGUGACGGUAAUGGGUAAAGAAGCACCGGCUAACUACGUG
rnacentral:rRNA from 1 species